rnacentral:rRNA from 1 species
UACGAAGGGGGGCGAGCGUUGUUCGGAUUUACUGGGCGUAAAGGGCGCGCAGGCGGCUUUGUUUGUCAGGCGUGAAAGCCCCGGGCUUAACCUGGGAACUGCGUUUGAUACGGCAGGGCUAGAGUUCGGGAGAGGAGAGUGGAAUUCCCAGUGUAGAGGUGAAAUUCGUAGAUAUUGGGAAGAACACCGGUGGCGAAGGCGGCUCUCUGGACCGAAUACUGACGCUGAGGCGCGAAAAGCGUGGGGAGCAAACAGGG